rnacentral:tRNA from 1 species
GGAGAGGUGGCCGAGUGGUCGAAGGCGCGCGACUCGAAAUCGCGUUCCCGAGUAAAAUCGGGACGGGGGUUCAAAUCCCUCCCUCUCCG